rnacentral:rRNA from 1 species
UACGAAGGGGGCUAGCGUUGCUCGGAAUCACUGGGCGUAAAGGGUGCGUAGGCGGGUUUUUAAGUCAGGGGUGAAAUCCUGGAGCUCAACUCCAGAACUGCCUUUGAUACUGAAGAUCUUGAGUUCGGGGAGAGGUGAGUGGAACUGCGAGUGUAGAGGUGAAAUUCGUAGAUAUUCGCAAGAACACCAGUGGCGAAGGCGGCUCACUGGCCCGAUACUGACGCUGAGGCGCGAAAGCGUGGGGAGCAAACAGGGAUUAGAAACC